rnacentral:miRNA from 1 species
UAAUACAGAAUUCGGAGACAAC